rnacentral:rRNA from 1 species
GAUGAACGCUAGCUACAGGCUUAACACAUGCAAGUCGAGGGGCAGCGGGAUUGAAGCUUGCUUCAAUUGCCGGCGACCGGCGCACGGGUGAGUAACGCGUAUCCAACCUUCCGUACACUCAGGGAUAGCCUUUCGAAAGAAAGAUUAAUACCUGAUGGUAUCUUAAGCACACAUGCAAUUAAGAUUAAAGAUUUAUCGGUGUACGAUGGGGAUGCGUUCCAUUAGGUAGUAGGCGGGGUAACGGCCCACCUAGCCAACGAUGGAUAGGGGUUCUGAGAGGAAGGUCCCCCACAUUGGAACUGAGACACGGUCCAA